UAAGGAAUAUUAGAAAUGGACGAAAGUCUGAUCUAGCAACACCGCGUGUGCGAAGAAGGCCUUUGGGUCGUAAAGCACUUUUUGGAAGGAAUAGGAAGGAAUGUACUUCCAGAAUAAGUCUCGGCUAACUACGUGCCAGCAGCCGCGGUAACACGUAGGAGGCAAACGUUAUCCGGAUUUACUGGGCGUAAAGCGCGUGUAGGUGGUACUGUAAGUAGGGCGUGAAAGCUCCUGGCUCAACUGGGAGAGGCCGUUCUAAACUACAGAACUAGAGGAUGGUAGAGGGAGGUGGAAUUCCAGGUGUAGCGGUGGAAUGCGCAGAUCUCUGGAGGAACACCGGUGGCGAAGGCGGCCUCCUGGACCAUUCCUGACACUCAGACGCGAAAGCUAGGGUAGCAAACGG
rnacentral:rRNA from 1 species